UAGAUUUUAUCUUUUUAUUAUUUUUAUAAAAUUCGAAAAACAAAAAAUACUAAAAAUAAAAAUAAAAAAUACAAAUACAAACCACCCUAAAUGUUCUCAGAAUAAAAAUACUGUCUCCACAAUUUAUAGGUAGUGGUGGCUGAGCUUGGUGCACUGAAAAAAUAUGUUCAUUGAGGCUUGCUAUAGUCUACAGUCUAGACUUAUCCGUUGUAACUUAGUGUGCGGCCAUAAGUCCCAUUUCCAAAAAGUCAAAACCAAAAUAGACAUCCUGCUCCUCUACCUGUCUACCCUUGUAAGAUACGUUUGGAUAAAGCCAAUAAUCAAGUAUAGGAAGAAAAAAAAUUCUUUGAAUAAAGUUAUUUUUAUGAGAUAUUUUCAUAAGCCAAAUAGAAUAGCAGAAUUUGUAGUAGAAUAUGAAUAUCUACUAAAAUAAAAUAUCGGCAUCCAAAGCAUAAGUUUUACCAACAACAGAGAGGCAGAGAAUACAACUGCAGAGCAUAGACCCAAUCCCCAAUUUUCUUCCACAAUAAGAAACUCCUCUUCCCGUGUUAUAUUAUUCAUCCUUGCAUGUUCUUUUUCUGCAUAGCAAAAGCUUUAGUUUAGCGUUGGUUUACAGUAACAAGGAAAUCAUUAACAACCUGAGACCAAAAAAAAAAAGGUUAACGGCAGCAAUCAGUGGAGAGUGGAGACAUGGUCCAUGGCCUUCUCGCCGCGAUGCUGCUCCUCCUCCACCUCCUCCUUCCCCCGCCUCAUACCGCCGCGCAGGCCGUUAACUCGCUGCCGCCUCCGCCGCCAGAUGCCAUCUCCAAGGUGAAGUUCGACAAGUCCAUGGCCGUCGUCCUGGUCAUCCUCGUCAUCGUGUUCUUCGCCCUCGGCUUCCUCUCCGUGUACACGCGCCAGUGCGCGGAGCGUAGGAUGAGGGCGAGGUUCGACCUCACGUUCCCCCUCGCCGGAAGCCACCGCCGGCAGCGUGGUUUGGACCGGGAGAUCAUCGAGACGUUCCCGACGUUUGUUUACUCCGCCGUGAAGACACAGAAGAUAGGUCGUGCCACGCUAGAAUGCGCCGUGUGCCUCAACGAGUUCAACGACGACGAAACGCUGCGUUUAAUUCCAAAGUGCAGCCACGUGUUCCACCCUGAUUGCAUUGACGCAUGGCUCGCUAACCACUCUACCUGCCCGGUUUGCCGCGCCAACCUCUUCCCCUCCGACAACAACAAUAACGAUAACGGCACCUUCGUUGACGUUCAGAUCCCCGAUCCUGAGUCCAACGGUUCACAUAGAUCCGAAAUUGCACAGAUUAAUAACGGUAACGAUAACGGCGGAGGAGGAACGGCAACGGUAACGGAGUCUCCGAAGAUGGAUAGUUCAGUUAAUCAGAGGCGUACGCCGUUACGGUCAUGGUCAACGGGGUUUAGGAUUGGGAGUUUGUUUCCAAGGUCGCACUCGACGGGUCACUCGCUGGUCCAACCGGGGGAAAGCUUGGAGCGGUUUACGCUGAGGCUGCCGGAGGAGGUGCGAAACCGGCUGCUUAUGAGUUCGACGCCAUGUCAGACGACAAGCAACGGCGGCGCGGCGUUCUCGAGAGAGAGCAGCGUGAGGAGAGGGUUUAGAACCCGGAGUGUGGGUCCCGGGAGGGGCUACUUGCAGUAUGAACGGUUUGGCGGGGUGGAGCGGCGAGGGUUCAAUUGGACGCCACCGUUUUUUAGUAGGGCCAGUUCUACCCGGUCUCCGGGGAACGGUACGACGGCGGAGGAGAAGAAGGAGGUGGCGGUGGAAAUUGGUGAACGGUCUUCGGAUCGGUUAUUUGCAGGUGGUGAGAGUUAGGUAUUUGUUUAGGUUUCUAAUUUAGGUAAUUUGGUUGGUUGGUUGGAGUUGAAGGCGAUUGUCACAAUUAGCUUCAUUUUCACACUACAAUUUUACAUUUAUUUUUACUUUUACUUUUACCAAUGUGUCAAAGCAUACAAUAUCAGAUAUAUACACACAAAAUGCUACAUAGAGAUUCAUCCAAACAGCCAUGGUAAGGGGUUUCAGUGGUUGGAAUUCAUUCAUGACGCGUAUAUGUUAAGCUCACAUGUAUCUAUCAACUGAGCCUCGUAACCUUCUUCAUAGAAACAAAAUUACAUUAUAUUUUUUGGAAUACUUAUUUUUAUUGUAAUGUAUAAACUUUUUAAAA
rnacentral:lncRNA from 1 species